GGUUGCCAUACGAUCACCAAAAUUAAGCAACGUCGAGCCUGGUUAGUACCUAGAUGGGUGACCGCUUUGGAAUACCAGGUAUUGUAAG